GGUUGAAGGUUAGGUAACACUGACUGGAGGACCGAACCCACUCCCGUUGAAAAGGUAGGGGAUGACUUGUGGAUCGGAGUGAAAGGCUAAUCAAGCUCGGAGAUAGCUGGUUCUCCUCGAAAGCUAUUUAGGUAGCGCCUCAUGUAUCACUCUGGGGGGUAGAGCACUGUUUCGGCUAGGGGGUCAUCCCGACUUACCAAACCGAUGCAAACUCCGAAUACCCAGAAGUGCCGAGCAUGGGAGACACACGGCGGGUGCUAACGUCCGUCGUGAAAAGGGAAACAACCCAGACCGCCAGCUAAGGUCCCAAAGUUGUGGUUAAGUGGUAAACGAUGUGGGAAGGCUUAGACAGCUAGGAGGUUGGCUUAGAAGCAGCCACCCUUUAAAGAAAGCGUAAUAGCUCACUAGUCGAGUCGGCCUGCGCGGAAGAUGUAACGGGGCUCAAACCACACACCGAAGCUGCGGGUGUCACGUAAGUGACGCGGUAGAGGAGCGUUCUGUAAGCCUGUGAAGGUGAGUUGAGAAGCUUGCUGGAGGUAUCAGAAGUGCGAAUGCUGACAUGAGUAACGACAAUGGGUGUGAAAAACACCCACGCCGAAAGACCAAGGGUUCCUGCGCAACGUUAAUCGACGCAGGGUUAGUCGGUUCCUAAGGCGAGGCUGAAAAGCGUAGUCGAUGGGAAACAGGUUAAUAUUCCUGUACUUCUGGUUACUGCGAUGGAGGGACGGAGAAGGCUAGGCCAGCUUGGCGUUGGUUGUCCAAGUUUAAGGUGGUAGGCUGAAAUCUUAGGUAAAUCCGGGGUUUCAAGGCCGAGAGCUGAUGACGAGUCGUCUUUUAGAUGACGAAGUGGUUGAUGCCAUGCUUCCAAGAAAAGCUUCUAAGCUUCAGGUAACCAGGAACCGUACCCCAAACCGACACAGGUGGUCGGGUAGAGAAUACCAAGGCGCUUGAGAGAACUCGGGUGAAGGAACUAGGCAAAAUGGCACCGUAACUUCGGGAGAAGGUGCGCCGGCUAGGGUGAAGGAUUUACUCCGUAAGCUCUGGCUGGUCGAAGAUACCAGGCCGCUGCGACUGUUUAUUAAAAACACAGCACUCUGCAAACACGAAAGUGGACGUAUAGGGUGUGACGCCUGCCCGGUGCCGGAAGGUUAAUUGAUGGGGUUAGCGCAAGCGAAGCUCUUGAUCGAAGCCCCGGUAAACGGCGGCCGUAACUAUAACGGUCCUAAGGUAGCGAAAUUCCUUGUCGGGUAAGUUCCGACCUGCACGAAUGGCGUAACGAUGGCGGCGCUGUCUCCACCCGAGACUCAGUGAAAUUGAAAUCGCUGUGAAGAUGCAGUGUAUCCGCGGCUAGACGGAAAGACCCCGUGAACCUUUACUGUAGCUUUGCACUGGACUUUGAGCCUGCUUGUGUAGGAUAGGUGGGAGGCUUUGAAGCGUGGACGCCAGUUCGCGUGGAGCCAUCCUUGAAAUACCACCCUGGCAUGCUUGAGGUUCUAACUCUGGUCCGUGAUCCGGAUCGAGGACAGUGUAUGGUGGGCAGUUUGACUGGGGCGGUCUCCUCCUAAAGAGUAACGGAGGAGUACGAAGGUGCGCUCAGACCGGUCGGAAAUCGGUCGCAGAGUAUAAAGGCAAAAGCGCGCUUGACUGCGAGACAGACACGUCGAGCAGGUACGAAAGUAGGUCUUAGUGAUCCGGUGGUUCUGUAUGGAAGGGCCAUCGCUCAACGGAUAAAAGGUACUCCGGGGAUAACAGGCUGAUACCGCCCAAGAGUUCAUAUCGACGGCGGUGUUUGGCACCUCGAUGUCGGCUCAUCACAUCCUGGGGCUGAAGCCGGUCCCAAGGGUAUGGCUGUUCGCCAUUUAAAGUGGUACGCGAGCUGGGUUUAGAACGUCGUGAGACAGUUCGGUCCCUAUCUGCCGUGGACGUUUGAGAUUUGAGAGGGGCUGCUCCUAGUACGAGAGGACCGGAGUGGACGAACCUCUGGUGUUCCGGUUGUCACGCCAGUGGCAUUGCCGGGUAGCUAUGUUCGGAAAAGAUAACCGCUGAAAGCAUCUAAGCGGGAAACUUGCCUCAAGAUGAGAUCUCACUGGGAACUUGAUUCCCCUGAAGGGCCGUCGAAGACUACGACGUUGAUAGGCUGGGUGUGUAAGCGUUGUGAGGCGUUGAGCUAACCAGUACUAAUUGCCCGUGAGGCUUGACCAU
rnacentral:rRNA from 1 species